UUAAGUUAUUAAGGGCGCACGGUGGAUGCCUUGGCACUAGAAGCCGAUGAAGGACGUUACUAACGACGAUAUGCUUUGGGGAGCUGUAAGUAAGCUUUGAUCCAGAGAUUUCCGAAUGGGGAAACCCAGCAUGAGUUAUGUCAUGUUAUCGAUAUGUGAAUACAUAGCAUAUCAGAAGGCACACCCGGAGAACUGAAACAUCUUAGUACCCGGAGGAAGAGAAAGAAAAUUCGAUUCCCUUAGUAGCGGCGAGCGAAACGGGAAGAGCCCAAACCAACAAGCUUGCUUGUUGGGUUGUAGGACACUCUAUACGGAGUUACAAAGGACGACAUUAGACGAAUACAUCUGGAAAGAUGAAUCAAAGAAGGUAAUAAUCCUGUAGUCGAAAAUGUUGUCUCUCUUGAGUGGAUCCUGAGUACGUACGGAGCACGUGAAAUUCUGUCGGAAUCUGGGAGGACCAUAUCCUAAGGCUAAAUACUCUCUAGUGACCGAUAGUGAACCAGUACCGUGAGGGAAAGGUGAAAAGCACCCCGGAAGGGGAGUGAAAUAGAACCUGAAACCGUGUGCUUACAAGUAGUCAGAGCCCGUUAAUGGGUGAUGGCGUGCCUUUUGUAGAAUGAACCGGCGAGUUACGAUUUGAUGCAAGGUUAAGCAGUAAAUGUGGAGCCGUAGCGAAAGCGAGUCUGAAUAGGGCGUUUAGUAUUUGGUCGUAGACCCGAAACCAGGUGAUCUACCCUUGGUCAGGUUGAAGUUCAGGUAACACUGAAUGGAGGACCGAACCGACUUACGUUGAAAAGUGAGCGGAUGAACUGAGGGUAGCGGAGAAAUUCCAAUCGAACCUGGAGAUAGCUGGUUCUCUCCGAAAUAGCUUUAGGGCUAGCCUCAAGUGAUGAUUAUUGGAGGUAGAGCACUGUUUGGACGAGGGGCCCCUCUCGGGUUACCGAAUUCAGACAAACUCCGAAUGCCAAUUAAUUUAACUUGGGAGUCAGAACAUGGGUGAUAAGGUCCGUGUUCGAAAGGGAAACAGCCCAGACCACCAGCUAAGGUCCCAAAAUAUAUGUUAAGUGGAAAAGGAUGUGGCGUUGCCCAGACAACUAGGAUGUUGGCUUAGAAGCAGCCAUCAUUUAAAGAGUGCGUAAUAGCUCACUAGUCGAGUGACACUGCGCCGAAAAUGUACCGGGGCUAAACAUAUUACCGAAGCUGUGGAUUGUCCUUUGGACAAUGGUAGGAGAGCGUUCUAAGGGCGUUGAAGCAUGAUCGUAAGGACAUGUGGAGCGCUUAGAAGUGAGAAUGCCGGUGUGAGUAGCGAAAGACGGGUGAGAAUCCCGUCCACCGAUUGACUAAGGUUUCCAGAGGAAGGCUCGUCCGCUCUGGGUUAGUCGGGUCCUAAGCUGAGGCCGACAGGCGUAGGCGAUGGAUAACAGGUUGAUAUUCCUGUACCACCUAUAAUCGUUUUAAUCGAUGGGGGGACGCAGUAGAUAGGCGAAGCGUGCGAUUGGAUUGCACGUCUAAGCAGUAAGGCUGAGUAUUAGGCAAAUCCGGUACUCGUUAAGGCUGAGCUGUGAUGGGGAGAAGACAUUGUGUCUUCGAGUCGUUGAUUUCACACUGCCGAGAAAAGCCUCUAGAUAGAAAAUAGGUGCCCGUACCGCAAACCGACACAGGUAGUCAAGAUGAGAAUUCUAAGGUGAGCGAGCGAACUCUCGUUAAGGAACUCGGCAAAAAUGACCCCGUAACUUCGGGAGAAGGGGUGCUCUUUAGGGUUAACGCCCAGAAGAGCCGCAGUGAAUAGGCCCAAGCGACUGUUUAUCAAAAACACAGGUCUCUGCUAAACCGUAAGGUGAUGUAUAGGGGCUGACGCCUGCCCGGUGCUGGAAGGUUAAGAGGAGUGGUUAGCUUCUGCGAAGCUACGAAUCGAAGCCCCAGUAAACGGCGGCCGUAACUAUAACGGUCCUAAGGUAGCGAAAUUCCUUGUCGGGUAAGUUCCGACCCGCACGAAAGGCGUAACGAUUUGGGCACUGUCUCAACGAGAGACUCGGUGAAAUCAUAGUACCUGUGAAGAUGCAGGUUACCCGCGACAGGACGGAAAGACCCCGUGGAGCUUUACUGUAGCCUGAUAUUGAAAUUCGGCACAGCUUGUACAGGAUAGGUAGGAGCCUUUGAAACGUGAGCGCUAGCUUACGUGGAGGCGCUGGUGGGAUACUACCCUAGCUGUGUUGGCUUUCUAACCCGCACCACUUAUCGUGGUGGGAGACAGUGUCAGGCGGGCAGUUUGACUGGGGCGGUCGCCUCCUAAAAGGUAACGGAGGCGCUCAAAGGUUCCCUCAGAAUGGUUGGAAAUCAUUCAUAGAGUGUAAAGGCAUAAGGGAGCUUGACUGCGAGACCUACAAGUCGAGCAGGGUCGAAAGACGGACUUAGUGAUCCGGUGGUUCCGCAUGGAAGGGCCAUCGCUCAACGGAUAAAAGCUACCCCGGGGAUAACAGGCUUAUCUCCCCCAAGAGUUCACAUCGACGGGGAGGUUUGGCACCUCGAUGUCGGCUCAUCGCAUCCUGGGGCUGUAGUCGGUCCCAAGGGUUGGGCUGUUCGCCCAUUAAAGCGGUACGCGAGCUGGGUUCAGAACGUCGUGAGACAGUUCGGUCCCUAUCCGUCGUGGGCGUAGGAAAGUUUAGUAGAGGAGCGUGUCCUUAGUUACGAGAGGACCGGGAGUGGACGAUACCUCUGGUGUACCAGUUGUCGUGCCAACGGCAUAGCUGGGUAGCUAUGUGUGGACGGGAUAAGUGCUGAAAGCAUCUAAGCAUGAAGCCCCCCUCAAGAUGAGAUUUCCCAACUUCGGUUAUAAGAUCCCUCAAAGAUGAUGAGGUUAAUAGGUUCGAGGUGGAAGCAUGGUGACAUGUGGAGCUGACGAAUACUAAUCGAUCGAAGACUUAAUCAA
rnacentral:rRNA from 1 species